ensembl:lncRNA
AGACUUCUGCUCAGCACUGUGUGGGCACGCACAGAUUGUGUUUUGUUUACUUGUUUAUCACCUUCCUGUUGGUUUUGUUGAACUUGCUAGGCAUUGACGAUAUCACAAAAAUCCACAACAAAAGCAUGAUCAGCUAAAAUUCAAAGUGCAUGAUCCCAUCACAGCUGCCCUAAGGAAAUGCAGGUUUAUGAACUUAUUAUCAAAUUCAGGGAGUACACCUGCAUUUUGCAUCAUAAUCAGUGGCGGAGCGGGGGGGUGGCUUACUGGGCUUAAGCCCGGGUUGUUUUUUCAGAAGCCCGGGGUCUUUUGGAGUGUAAUUUUUUCAUAGUUAGAUGCCUGACUGACAACUGUAUAAAACAAAAAACUACACGCAAUAUUCGAAGCACAUAGUGCACACUGUGGGAAUUUACAACUUUGCGUAAAUCCCCCCUAAUAUUGGUAUGAUCCUCAGGCACUAAGCGGGCGGGGCAGCUGCUGCCUGCGAGUGCGCUGUUGGAGAAACGGAGCCAGGCAGACAGAUGAGAACUGAAGUUCAACCAGUUGUUACCCUUCACGGCUAAAUAAAUCGGUUUCAGUAAUGUACUGAUAUACAAGAAUGGACAUAAGGAGCUUCUUUCAAAGAAAAAACUCAGGUGAAAAGACGCAUCUCAUACCUGAGGCUUCUCUCACCUUCCUGUUAUUUUGGGGUUUCAUUUUCUCUCAGCAUCGAUCUGAUUUGGACCACAGAUGUGGAGGAGAAAGAGAGGAUAAUAGGGCAUCAGAGAGCGAGACUUGUUCGUUUUCUUUAAGACCGUGAGUGUCAGAACAUUAUCUGCUUUUUAGAGGGUGCUGUUGUUCAUAAGCAGCCGACUGGAGAGCCCUGCUUGCUGUACCUAAUCGGGACUGAGAGCGUGACGCCCUGAUUAAAAACCCACUGAAAGCACUCUCACAUGCACGCACAAAACACACACACACGCUGUCCAUGUCUGCAUUAAAAACAAACCAAAUGUCUCUUAGAGCCUGCAUCAUUUCUCAGCUUCAUUCUCAGCCAUACCAAAAAAAAGUCCAUUAUGUUGGAGGUACACAAAAUAUACUGCGUUUAUAUUUAAGGUUUGCGUUCUGUGGGUGGAAAGUUUUAUAUCCAUUCUAAUGAAUUCAUUUUCACCCUUCCAUUUGAUUUAUUUCCUAAAAUAAAAACUAGCAUUAUACAGAAUAAUACACCCAUGACUCACUAGCAUCAUGAUAGGGAAGCAAGUUUUGAACUUUCUAGACUACUCCACUGAUCAUAACAGAAAAUGACACUACAACCUCAUUAGCACAUGAGCUCUAUUUGUAUUCUAAUGAACUGUGAAAAAAAAAAUGCCACUGGGAAUAUUCUAAGAGUCUGGUGUAAAAUAUAAAGUAGCUUAAACCAUCAAGGAUCACGUCUACAUGUAAAGGUCUUUUGUUGUUCCACUUUGAUGAUAAUUUUGGUUUAGGUAUUAAAUAUGGAAUAGGAAAAAAAAUGCUAUUCCAUUUGAAAAAAUGCUAUUCCGUUUGUACCUGUGCAAAAUGUAAAAAAAAAAAAGGAAAAAGAAAAGAAAAAUAAGUGUAGUAAAGUUGGAAAAAAGUUAUUUUAUUUCUCGCUGCCUGGAAGAGCAUUUAUGGACUUAAACAAUGAUGUAAAAGACAUUUUAAUUGUUUUCCAGUUGAAAAACUCAUAACACUAAGGAGAAAACAAACCAGUGGUAUUUAUGGUGCAUCUCAAAGACAGACAUUUAGAUGUAAUAGCGUAAUUGAAAAAAAGUUGUAAUGCUGAGAAAAAUAUGGAGAAGCAGAUAAAUAGCUCAUGAUCUGAGGCAUGCCACAUAAUCUGUCA